rnacentral:snRNA from 1 species
UAACUAUCUGCAACAUCUGUCACCAUAUUGAUCACAAAGGUUGAUGUGGCUGCCAACCUGGCUGGCUAUGCGGGUGUACCCUUCCUCCCUCACUGCCCCAUGUACAUCCUUCCCAAAGCUCUGGGCUUGGUUGAAGAGAGCUACCUUCCCUGAUAAAAUGGUUCAGUGAUACA